rnacentral:rRNA from 1 species
GUGCCAGCAGCCGCGGUAAUACGGAGGGUGCGAGCGUUAAUCGGAAUUACUGGGCGUAAAGCGCAUGCAGGCGGCCAAGUCAGUCAGAUGUGAAAGCCCCGGGCUCAACCUGGGAAUAGCAUUUGAUACUGCUUGGCUAGAGUCCUUGAGAGGGGGGUGGAAUUUCAGGUGUAGCGGUGAAAUGCGUAGAGAUCUGAAGGAAUACCAGUGGCGAAGGCGGCCCCCUGGCAAGAGACUGACGCUCAGAUGCGAAAGCGUGGGGAGCAAACAGGAUUAGAUACCCGGGUAGUCCC